AGCAGUCGCCACGGUAGUACGAAGUGUGCAAGCGUUAAUCGGAAUUACUGGGCGUAAAGCGUGCGUAGGCGGUUUGUUAAGUCUGCUGUGAAAUCCCCGGGCUCAACCUGGGAAUGGCAGUGGAUACUGGCAAGCUAGAGUGUGUCAGAGGAUGGUGGAAUUCCCGGUGUAGCGGUGAAAUGCGUAGAGAUCGGGAGGAACAUCAGUGGCGAAGGCGGCCAUCUGGGACAACACUGACGCUGAGGCACGAAAGCGUGGGGAGCAAACAGGAUUAGAUACCCCUGUAGUCCCUGUCUCUUAUAC
rnacentral:rRNA from 1 species